CCGACAGUGGCAGCAGGAACUGUCGGCAGACGCAGGGUCUUACGAAACCGCUUGCAUUCGAGGAACGUCCGCACAAUGUCAUCCAGGAUUCAAGGGAGGAAAGAAAAGGACCCUGUCCACAAUCAAGUCUAUCACUGUGACUAUGCGACCAGCUUCGUGGAAUCCAAUCAUGACGAGUGCACAAUGAUUGCAGUGGUCACAGAGCAAUGGAGAUCGCUGAUUCACUCGGUGAAAACUAAGCCAUGCAAAACUGCUUUGACACCUCACCGUGCAACUCAGGGGACCUCAUGCUCGCAGAAAGCCCCGGUUUCUUCAACAGCUGAUCAUCUCUGCCUGGCUCUACUGUAGAACCUCUUCCAUACGUUCUGAAGAAGCACAAGAAAAGAACAUACUAAGCGGGAAAAUGUGCGAUCGGAACUCAAUAAAGAUUGGCAGACUCAACUGCAGCUAACAUCGACACGAAGUGGCAAUGCA